GCUCGAGUGGCGAACGGGUGAGUAACACGUGAGUAACCUGCCCUUGACUUUGGGAUAACUUCAGGAAACUGGGGCUAAUACCGGAUAGGAGCUCCUGCUGCAUGGUGGGGGUUGGAAAGUUUCGGCGGUUGGGGAUGGACUCGCGGCUUAUCAGCUUGUUGGUGGGGUAGUGGCUCACCAAGGCUUUGACGGGUAGCCGGCCUGAGAGGGUGACCGGCCACAUUGGGACUGAGAUACGGCCCAG
rnacentral:rRNA from 1 species